CAAAAGGGAAACAGCCCAGAUCGUCAGCUAAGGUCCCAAAGUGUAAGUUAAGUGGGAAAGGAUGUGAGAUUUCUAAGACAACUAGGAUGUUGGCUUAGAAGCAGCCAUUCAUUAAAAGAGUGCGUAAUAGCUCACUAGUCGAGAGAUCUUGCGCCGAAAAUGUAACGGGGCUAAACUUACCACCGAAGCUACGGGCUUGAACUUAGUUCAAGCGGUAGGAGAGCGUCGUAACCGGGCUGAAGUCGUACCGUAAGGAGCGGUGGACUGGUUACGAGUGAGAAUGUUGGCAUCAGUAGCGAGAUGUGGGUGAGAAUCCCACAGGCCGAAAACCUAAGGUUUCCUCAGGAAGGUUCGUCCGCUGAGGGUUAGUCGGGACCUAAGCCGAGGCCGAAAGGCGUAGGUGAUGGACAACUGGUUGAUAUUCCAGUACCACUACCAUCGUUAUUAUCGAUGGCGUGACGCAGGAGGAUAGUGUGUGCUAGCUAUUGGAUGCUAGUCUAAGCGUUUAGGCAGUGAGAGUAGGCAAAUCCGCUCUCAUAAUGCUGAGGCGUGAUGGGGAAGGUUCUACGGAACCGAAGUACAUGAUUCCACGCUGCCAAGAAAAGCGUCUAGAGAGAGAAGUAGUGCCCGUACCGCAAACCGACACAGGUAGGUGAGGAGAGAAUCCUAAGGCCGGCGGAAGAAUUACAGUUAAGGAACUCGGCAAAUUGACCCCGUAAGUUCGCGAGAAGGGGUGCCUACGAGAGUAGGCCGCAGAGAAUAGGCCCAAGCAACUGUUUAGCAAAAACACAGGUCUCUGCUAAAGCGUAAGCUGAUGUAUAGGGGCUGACGCCUGCCCGGUGCUGGAAGGUUAAGGGGAACACUUAGCGCAAGCGAAGGUGUGAACUUAAGCCCCAGUAAACGGCGGCCGUAACUAUAACGGUCCUAAGGUAGCGAAAUUCCUUGUCAGGUAAGUUCUGACCCGCACGAAUGGCGUAAUGACUUGGGCACUGUCUCAACUGUAAAUCCGGCGAAGUUGUAGUGCGAGUGAAGAUGCUCGCUACCCGCGAUUGGACGGAAAGACCCCGUAGAGCUUUACUGUAGCUUAGCAUUGAGUUUUGGUAUUGUCUGUACAGGAUAGGUGGGAGACUAGGAAACCAGGGCGUCAGCCUUGGUGGAGUCAACCUUGGGAUACCACCCUGACAGUACUGAAAUUCUAACUGGCGGCCAUGAAUCUGGUCACAGGACAUUGUUAGGUGGGCAGUUUGACUGGGGCGGUCGCCUCCUAAAAAGUAACGGAGGCGCCCAAAGGUUCCCUCAGAACGGUCGGAAAUCGUUCGAAGAGUGCAAAGGCAGAAGGGAGCCUGACUGCGACACCCACAAGUGGAGCAGGGACGAAAGUCGGGCUUAGUGAUCCGGUGGUACCUCGUGGGAGGGCCAUCGCUCAACGGAUAAAAGCUACCUCGGGGAUAACAGGCUGAUCUCCCCCAAGAGUCCACAUCGACGGGGAGGUUUGGCACCUCGAUGUCGGCUCGUCGCAUCCUGGGGCUGAAGUAGGUCCCAAGGGUUGGGCUGUUCGCCCAUUAAAGCGGCACGCGAGCUGGGUUCAGAACGUCGUGAGACAGUUCGGUCCCUAUCCGUCGCGGGCGUAGGAAAUUUGAGAGGAGCUGUCCUUAGUACGAGAGGACCGGGAUGGACUGACCUCUGGUGUACCAGUUGUUCCGCCAGGAGCACAGCUGGGUAGCUAAGUCGGGAAGGGAUAAACGCUGAAAGCAUCUAAGCGUGAAGCCCACCUCAAGAUGAGAUUUCCCAUAGCAUAAGCUAGUAAGACCCCUUGAAGAACACGAGGUUGAUAGGUCAGAGGUGUAAGUGCAGUAAUGUAUGUAGCUGACUGAUACUAAUAGGUCGAGGGCUUGACCAA
rnacentral:rRNA from 1 species